UUUUUAUACGACCGCAAAAAAAUUUUUGUGGUCGUAUAUUGGUAUGACGUUGGCGUCGUCGUCGUCCGGCGUCGUCGUCGUCGUCGUUGUCGUCGUCGUCGUCCGAAGACACUUGGUUUUCGCACUCUAACUUUAGUUUAAGUGAAUGGAUCUUUAUGAAAUUUUACCACAAGGUUCAAUACCACAAAAGGAAGGUUGGGAUUGAUUUUGGGGGUUAUGGUAAUAACAGUAAAGGAAUUAGGGGCCAAAAGGGGGCCAAAAAUAAGCAUUUUUGUAACUUCCAGACAUAACUUGUGUGUUAGUGUAUGGAUCUCUCUGACAUUGUACCACAAGGUUCCAUAUCACUAAAGGAAUGCUGGGAUUGAUUUUGGGGGUAAUUGCCUCCAAAUUUUAGUAAUUAGGGGCCAAAAAAGGGGCAAAAAACAAGCAUUUUUCUAGUUUCAUGACAAUAACUUGUGUGUAAGUGUAUGGAUCUUUCUGAAAUUGUACUACAAGGUUCCAUAUCACAAAGGGAAAGCUGGGUUUGAGUUUGGGGGUAAUUGCCCUAAACGUUUAGGAAUUUGGGGCCAAAAAGGGGCCAAAAAACACAUUUUUUUCUAGUUUCCAGACAAUAACUUGUGUUCAAGUGUAUGGAUCUCUCUGAAAUUGUACUGCAAGGUACCAUACCACAAAGGGAAGACUGGGAUUGAGUUUGGGGGUGAUGAAUCAUAAUGGGGGUUCAAAAAAUUUUGGGGGGGGGAUUUAUUUUUUUUUCCUUUUUUUCUUUUUUUCCUUUUUUGUUUCUUUUAAAAUUUUCCAUUUUAAGUUGGUUAUUUCUGAUUUAUAUUUAAAAGCAAAUAAUAAUGAUAUGGUAGGAGAUACACACCAAACAGGAUGUGUAAAUUAUUAUAUAAUAAGUAUUGUGCAAUAGCAAGAAAUUUUCAAUUGCACAGUAUUGCACAAUAGCAAGAAAUCUUCAAUUGCACAGUAUUGCACAAUAGCAAGAAAUCUUCAAUUUCACAGUAUUGCGCAAUAGCAAGAAAUAUCCAAUAGCACAAUAUUGCACAAUAGCAAGAAAUUGUCAAUUGUACAGUAUUGCGCAAUAGCAAGAAAUAUUUAAUAGCACAGGAUUGUGCAAAAGAAGAUACUUCCUAUAAAUUGCUUAUUUCUUGACCAAUUUCAAUGGGGUUUUAUUCUUGAUUUCAUGGGGUUCUUUAAUAUGCUGAAUCUAACCGUGUAUUUAGUUUUUGGAUUUUGGGCCCCAUUUUUAAAUUGGUCCACAUUGAGGUCCAAAGGGUCCAAAAUUAAACUUUGUUUGAUUUCAUCAAAAAUUGAAUUAUUGGGGUUCUUUGAUAUGCCAAAUCUAACUGUGUAUUUAGAUUCUUAAAUUUUGGUUCCGUUUUCAAAUUGGUCUACAUUAAGGUCCAAAGGGUCCAAAAUUAAACUUAGUUUGAUUUUAACAAAAAUUGAAUUCUUAGGGUUCUUUGAUAUGCUGAAUCUAAACAUGUAUUUAGAUUUUUGAUUAUGGGCCCAGUUUUCAAGUUGGUCCAAAUCGGGGUCCAAAAUUAAACUUUGUUUGAUUUCAACAAAAAUUGAAUAUAUGGGGUUCUUUGAUAUGCUGAAUCUAACCAUGUAUUUAGAUUUUUGAUUUUUGGGCCCCGUUAUCAACUUUGUCCACAUUGAGGUCAAAAGGGUCCAAAAUUAAACUUUGUUUGAUUUCAUCAAAAAUUGAAUUCUUGGGGUUCUUUAAUAUGCUGAAUCUAACCAUGUAUUUAGAUUUUGGAUAUUGGACCAUAAUAGGUGAAUGUCCAAUUUAAAAUUUUUAAGUUCUUAGACCACAUUCAAUCUGUGUUAGAAACCUAUGCUGUGUCAAAUAUUUAAUCACAAUCCAAAUCCAAAGCUGUAUCAAGCUUGAAUGUUGUGUCCAUACUUCCCCCAACUGUUCAGGGUUCGACCUCUGCGGUCGUAUCAAGCUGCGCCCUGCGGAGCAUUUUAUUAUUUUUUA